UCCAAUCAGAACCUGUGGAGGUGUGCGUACAACAGCCAGGCAACUUAAAACUAAGAAACAACAGGAAUGGUAAAAGAUGGAUGUGUCUGCUUUUACUUCCAUGUCACAAAGUCUAAAAGACCAUGCAGGUUCUGGAGCUUUCUGAGGGACCUUUUUGGGCUAAUGAAGCAGAUGAUGAACUUUCAGAGGAACACAGUGACGGCGUGCCCUCGGAGACCAUCUCAGCCUAACGCACCGGGUGUAGGACAGAUUCUUGAAUGGUCACUGCUUACAGGAAAUAAGUGAUUGGACAUGCAAAUCUAUGCCAAUUUUAACCUCAAUAUAAGGACAAGUCCUGGCCCACGGACCUGACGGACCUCAGCCAAACUGCCAUGCUUUAGCUCUUGGGUCUCUGUGCAUCAGCUCAGCCAGCCACACAGCAGAAAGAGGAGGCGCACCAGCCCAUGUGCUUAAAGCACUACUGGUCCCAGGAGAUAGCAGAGCUUCCUCGACCCAUCCAGCAUCCAGGUGAGUCUUUAGAAAUGAAACAAUUCAUUCUAACACAAUGUCUGGUUUUCAGUGAGUCGGAGAAGAUAGUGUCUGAAAAGAGCCCGCAGGAACGGUGUCUCCUCCGACAUGAAGUCCCACUCCAGAGAGCUCCGCCCUCAUCAGUGCAACACAACACAAUGGCCAGACACCUGGGUGUGGACACUUCCAUGCUCCGUAGAGCCAUCUGGAACUAUAUUCAGGGCAAGUUUGGGAUUCGGUAAGUCUCUUCACUGCUCACAGUUUCAGAAAUAUGUAGCAACAUUGAAUACAUUUAUUCAUUCUACAAAGAACCUUUUAAAAUGCUGAAGAUGUCUCCGAGACUCCCCCGGAGCCUUCAAAUAAGCACCAGCGGGAGAUCAUUUGUUUAUGCAUCUCAACAGGUCCAAGGCCAGCGGUUUAACAUACGCUUCUGGCAUGUGUGCGCUGAGAUGCUGGACCAGAGGAGGACAGACAUGCUGUACGGACAAGCUGUCUCUCCACUACUCACAGUUUGCAUUCAUGCUGUCAAUGUACCAGACCAGGCAAUCUGAACAAGUUGGUCUGAAAACGGUGUAUCCAGAGUCUAAAAGGGAUCGACAAGUAUAUGGACAAAUCCACAACAAUGUUAGAAAUGUUCCUGCUACACGGAUUAGUCCACUUGACUAUUUCAGGGAAUGCCUUUUUAACCACAAAAUAAUAUUAAUCGUCUUUACUCCACUCCUCCCUGUAUUUCCUCAGCUCUUUUACUUCCUUCUGUAA
rnacentral:lncRNA from 1 species